rnacentral:rRNA from 1 species
UACUGACUGACCGAUAGUGAACCAGUACCGUGAGGGAAAGGCGAAAAGAACCCCGGAGAGGGGAGUGAAAUAGAACCUGAAACCGUAUGCGUACAAGCAGUGGGAGCCUACUUGUUAGGUGACUGCGUACCUUUUGUAUAAUGGGUCAGCGACUUAUAUUCAGUGGCAAGCUUAACCGUAUAGGGUAGGCGUAGCGAAAGCGAGUCUUAAUAGGGCGUUUAGUCGCUGGGUAUAGACCCGAAACCGGGCGAUCUAUCCAUGAGCAGGUUGAAGGUUAGGUAACACUGACUGGAGGACCGAACCCACUCCCGUUGAAAAGGUAGGGGAUGACUUGUGGAUCGGAGUGAAAGGCUAAUCAAGCUCGGAGAUAGCUGGUUCUCCUCGAAAGCUAUUUAGGUAGCGCCUCAUGUAUCACUCUGGGGGGUAGAGCACUGUUUCGGCUAGGGGGUCAUCCCGACUUACCAAACCGAUGCAAACUCCGAAUACCCAGAAGUGCCGAGCAUGGGAGACACACGGCGGGUGCUAACGUCCGUCGUGAAAAGGGAAACAACCCAGACCGCCAGCUAAGGUCCCAAAGUUGUGGUUAAGUGGUAAACGAUGUGGGAAGGCUUAGACAGCUAGGAGGUUGGCUUAGAAGCAGCCAUCCUUUAAAGAAAGCGUAAUAGCUCACUAGUCGAGUCGGCCUGCGCGGAAGAUGUAACGGGGCUCAAACCACACACCGAAGCUGCGGGUGUCACGUAAGUGACGCGGUAGAGGAGCGUUCUGUAAGCCUGUGAAGGUGAGUUGAGAAGCUUGCUGGAGGUAUCAGAAGUGCGAAUGCUGACAUGAGUAACGACAAUGGGUGUGAAAAACACCCACGCCGAAAGACCAAGGGUUCCUGCGCAACGUUAAUCGACGCAGGGUUAGUCGGUUCCUAAGGCGAGGCUGAAAAGCGUAGUCGAUGGGAAACAGGUUAAUAUUCCUGUACUUCUGGUUACUGCGAUGGAGGGACGGAGAAGGCUAGGCCAGCUUGGCGUUGGUUGUCCAAGUUUAAGGUGGUAGGCUGAAAUCUUAGGUAAAUCCGGGGUUUCAAGGCCGAGAGCUGAUGACGAGUCGUCUUUUAGAUGACGAAGUGGUUGAUGCCAUGCUUCCAAGAAAAGCUUCUAAGCUUCAGGUAACCAGGAACCGUACCCCAAACCGACACAGGUGGUCGGGUAGAGAAUACCAAGGCGCUUGAGAGAACUCGGGUGAAGGAACUAGGCAAAAUGGCACCGUAACUUCGGGAGAAGGUGCGCCGGCUAGGGUGAAGGAUUUACUCCGUAAGCUCUGGCUGGUCGAAGAUACCAGGCCGCUGCGACUGUUUAUUAAAAACACAGCACUCUGCAAACACGAAAGUGGACGUAUAGGGUGUGACGCCUGCCCGGUGCCGGAAGGUUAAUUGAUGGGGUUAGCGCAAGCGAAGCUCUUGAUCGAAGCCCCGGUAAACGGCGGCCGUAACUAUAACGGUCCUAAGGUAGCGAAAUUCCUUGUCGGGUAAGUUCCGACCUGCACGAAUGGCGUAACGAUGGCGGCGCUGUCUCCACCCGAGACUCAGUGAAAUUGAAAUCGCUGUGAAGAUGCAGUGUAUCCGCGGCUAGACGGGAAGACCCCGUGAACCUUUACUGUAGCUUUGCACUGGACUUUGAGCCUGCUUGUGUAGGAUAGGUGGGAGGCUUUGAAGCGUGGACGCCAGUUCGCGUGGAGCCAUCCUUGAAAUACCACCCUGGCAUGCUUGAGGUUCUAACUCUGGUCCGUAAUCCGGAUCGAGGACAGUGUAUGGUGGGCAGUUUGACUGGGGCGGUCUCCUCCUAAAGAGUAACGGAGGAGUACGAAGGUGCGCUCAGACCGGUCGGAAAUCGGUCGCAGAGUAUAAAGGCAAAAGCGCGCUUGACUGCGAGACAGACACGUCGAGCAGGUACGAAAGUAGGUCUUAGUGAUCCGGUGGUUCUGUAUGGAAGGGCCAUCGCUCAACGGAUAAAAGGUACUCCGGGGAUAACAGGCUGAUACCGCCCAAGAGUUCAUAUCGACGGCGGUGUUUGGCACCUCGAUGUCGGCUCAUCACAUCCUGGGGCUGAAGCCGGUCCCAAGGGUAUGGCUGUUCGCCAUUUAAAGUGGUACGCGAGCUGGGUUUAGAACGUCGUGAGACAGUUCGGUCCCUAUCUGCCGUGGACGUUUGAGAUUUGAGAGGGGCUGCUCCUAGUACGAGAGGACCGGAGUGGACGAACCUCUGGUGUUCCGGUUGUCACGCCAGUGGCAUUGCCGGGUAGCUAUGUUCGGAAAAGAUAACCGCUGAAAGCAUCUAAGCGGGAAACUUGCCUCAAGAUGAGAUCUCACUGGGAACUUGAUUCCCCUGAAGGGCCGUCGAAGACUACGACGUUGAUAGGCUGGGUGUGUAAGCGUUGUGAGGCGUUGAGCUAACCAGUACUAAUUGCCCGUGAGGCUUGACCAU